ACAAAUUCAACGAGUAAAUUUUUAUUUUAUUAUUUAAAUGGUGUCUACAGAAUUUUAUUAGGGUCGUAUUAAAAUUUCAUUAUGAAAUUUUGGUGUUUGCAAGAUUAAUUAAGUAAAAAGGACUAAAUUGUAAAAAGUGUAAAAAUUAAGUUUUAAUAAUUAAAAUAGUUGAAUGACUAUGGAAAUGGAAGUUAAUGGACUUGAAUAGAAAUUAUAUCAUUCAUAAGGUUAGUGGAUGUGCAUGGC
rnacentral:lncRNA from 1 species